ACUUCAUUUGAUACUAAGUAAGACAUAAUUAGAAAAUGCUUUCAUAUUUUAAGUUUGAAUAUUGGACUGUUUUGAGAUGUCAUACCAGUAUGGCAAUUAUCUUUAAAUAAAAAGAAAACUUUUCUAGUUUAUCAGUAUACAUGGGAGAGUAUUGUAUACUUAAGAAUUCAGUGUAUCUCCACACAUGCCUAUAAUAUAAGUACUCGUGAAGCAGGGACAGUGGUAGGAGUAACUCUCUGGGUUCAGGCUAGCCUUGUCUACAUUGCCUACAUAGUGAGUUCUAAGCCAACCAAGGUGACACAGUGAGACCCUGUUUAAAACAAAAGAAAACAUAACAAUGUUACACUGAUAUAUUGGUGGUUGUCACUUUUGUAUAUACAUGAACUUUAGUAUUCUAAAAACACUGAUGCUCAGGUGGCUUGCUGGCCAGCUAAGUCAUAGUCUCUGAAUGUGGAGCUUCAACAUUUGGCAUUUGGGGUUGUUGUGUUGUUUUGUUUUGUGUUGUAUUGUUUUGUUUUACCUUAGGUAGAAAGAGGAAGAAAAGAUGUGUUCUUUUGCACUCUACAUGAAUAUUGUAAUGUAGAGCUGUGUUCAUUGGAGUUGUAGUCACUCAGUUGUAUUACAACAAAUGCUAAACACUCAUACAUUUGUUCAGAAAAAUACCUUGUGUGGCUGCUGUGUAUGGCAGGCCUGACUGCCAGCUCCUUCUGGAGAAGACUCCAUCAGGAUAUCAUCCUAGAGUUUAUAUUUUAGUUCUGGUCAAAGAUAUUUCAGUUUUCCUUAAAUCUGUGUGUACCGCUAGCAGAAUCAUCUCAUUUUCUGUGGCAGACUUAAGGUAAUUUGUGGGUACAGCUGAGGUUCUGGUCAGCUCACAGGGCCUCACCUUUGUUUUCUUUAAGACUUUUGGGUCUUGUUUCUUCUCAACCACAUUCUUUAUUUGAAUCAAAUCACUGUUUACCAAGGUCAGUCCCACCAUCCUCACCUCAUAAUGAGUAUGAUGGAUUAUGUUUUGUUUGCAUGUAGCAGAGAAAGGGUCUUGCUCAGUAGUCAGCAGCGUUUACAGCCUGUGCAGAUCUGAGUUUGGUUCCCAUUGCCCACAUCCAGUGGCUUAUACCACCUAAAGCUCCGGCUCCAGGCAUCUGAUCCCCUGUUUCAACCUUCUGAGAACAUGUGCACGCACUUAACGUAUGUGCACACACAAGCAAAUAAAAUAAAUAAAAAUAUCAAGAAACAGUUGAUUGAGUUUGUAUAACUUUAGUUUCCAGAGUUAAAGCCAGAUAGGAUACCUUUUAAAAAGUGAGUAUUCAAAAGUAUUGUUUAGAUAUGAAAGAUUUGGAAUGAUAUGAUGGCUUAGCAGGUAAAGGCAUUUGCCAUCAAGCCUGAUAUCCCUAGUUCCAUUCCUGGAACCCACAUAGUAGAAGGAAAGAGCCAACUCCUUCAAGUUGUUCUCUGACCUCUGUAUGUGCACCAUAGUGUGUGAGCACUUUCAACACAAAAUAAGUAAAGAUGUAAUUUGAAAGAAAUAAUUAAAUAUUUGAAAUUAUUCUGGUAUUUUGAACUGUUCUGCUUUAAAUGUAGUCUAGUUAUCACAGUCUCUUCGGUACCUUUAUAACAGUCUCUAUCUAUGUUCAAUAACUACAAAAAUCUUGAUAUAUAGAGCAUGAACAUCAGGGAUGAAAUUCACAUUCAAUUAGGCCAGAGCCUCUUUACUGACCUAAAUAACAGUUCAUUCAUGAGAUAAUGUGACUUACAGCCAGAGAGAGAAAUCUAUUGCCUGAGCUGGGGAAGCCUGGCAUAGCACAAACUCUUCAGUGGUCAGAAAAUCAUCUAAAAUUAGACCAGGCAGGAAAAAUAGUGCAGAGAUUUACAGGUCUGAUUUCUAUUUCAAGAAUCGUUCUUUCUCAAGCUGUGUGUAUAAUUAGUUGUCUAGAUUAGACCUGGUAAUCCUGCAGUGCAUGCCUUUAUUAGUACAAAACCCUUAUCAAAGGGAUUUUGUGAUUAAACAAUUUUUAUAUUUUAAACUUAUUUUGUUUGUUUUUUAUAACUUGGGAAGUUCACAUUUUGUCAAAGAAUUUCUUCUUUGGACAGUUGGUCAGUGUAUCUUGGGAACUUGAGAUAGCUGCAAGUUUGGCAAAAGUUGUCAUUACCAGAGUGACAAUCCCUGAUUUAGAAAUGAAUGUAGUGUAUUGUGUAUGUAAGUGUUGGCAUUUGUUUCAUAAGGUUUCUAUUGCUGUGAUAGAGCACCAUG
rnacentral:lncRNA from 1 species